AGAGUUUGAUCAUGGCUCAGAUUGGACGCUGGCGGCAUGCUUUACACAUGCAAGUCGAACGGUAACGCGGGGGCAACCCUGGCGACGAGUGGCGAACGGGUGAGUAAUACAUCGGAACAUGUCCUGGAGUGGGGGAUAGCUCGGCGAAAGCCGGAUUAAUACCGCAUACGCUCUGAGGAGGAAAGCGGGGGACCCGCAAGGGCCUCGCGCUGCAGGAGUAGCCGAUGUCGGAUUAGCUAGUUGGUGAGGUAAAGGCUCACCAAGGCGACGAUCCGUAGCUGGUCUGAGAGGAUGAUCAGCCACACUGGGACUGAGACACGGCCCAGACUCCUACGGGAGGCAGCAGUGGGGAAUUUUGGACAAUGGGGGCAACCCUGAUCCAGCCAUGCCGCGUGAGUGAAGAAGGCCUUCGGGUUGUAAAGCUCUUUCGGACGGAACGAAAUGGUUACAGUGAAUAACUGUGAUUGAUGACGGUACCGUAAGAAGAAGCACCGGCUAACUACGUGCCAGCAGCCGCGGUAAUACGUAGGGUGCGAGCGUUAAUCGGAAUUACUGGGCGUAAAGCGUGCGCAGGCGGUUCGCCAAGUCAGGUGUGAAAUCCCCGGGCUUAACCUGGGAAUUGCGCUUGAAACUAGCGGGCUUGAGUGUGGCAGAGGGGGGUGGAAUUCCACGUGUAGCAGUGAAAUGCGUAGAGAUGUGGAGGAACACCGAUGGCGAAGGCAGCCCCCUGGGUCAACACUGACGCUCAUGCACGAAAGCGUGGGGAGCAAACAGGAUUAGAUACCCUAGUAGUCC
rnacentral:rRNA from 1 species